rnacentral:rRNA from 1 species
GCUACACAUGCAGUCGAGCGAGACCUUCGGGUCUAGCGGCGGACGGGUUAGUAACGCGUGGGAACGUGCCCUUCUCUGCGGAAUAGCCACUGGAAACGGUGAGUAAUACCGCAUACGCCCUUCGGGGGAAAGAUUUAUCGGAGAAGGAUCGGCCCGCGUUAGAUUAGAUAGUUGGUGGGGUAACGGCCUACCAAGUCUACGAUCUAUAGCUGGUUUUAGAGGAUGAUCAGCAACACUGGGACUGAGACACGGCCCAGACUCCUACGGGAGGCAGCAGUGGGGAAUCUUAGACAAUGGGCGCAAGCCUGAUCUAGCCAUGCCGCGUGUGUGAUGAAGGUCUUAGGAUCGUAAAGCACUUUCGCCAGGGAUGAUAAUGACAGUACCUGGUAAAGAAACCCCGGCUAACUCCGUGCCAGCAGCCGCGGUAAUACGGAGGGGGUUAGCGUUGUUCGGAAUUACUGGGCGUAAAGCGCGCGUAGGCGGAUUGGAAAGUUGGGGGUGAAAUCCCGGGGCUCAACCCCGGAACUGCCUCCAAAACUAUCAGUCUAGAGUUCGAGAGAGGUGAGUGGAAUUCCAAGUGUAGAGGUGAAAUUCGUAGAUAUUUGGAGGAACACCAGUGGCGAAGGCGGCUCACUGGCUCGAUACUGACGCUGAGGUGC